rnacentral:rRNA from 1 species
GUACUAAGGUAGCAUAAUCACUAGCCUUAUAAUUGAAGGACAGCAUGAAAGAAAUAACGAGCCAAUAUAACAUCUACUGAGGUAAAAAUGAAAUUAACAUAGAAGUAAAAAGACUUCAAAAACAAAGAAAGACGACAAGACCCUGACGAACUUCACAAAACCCUGUUAAGCUGGGGCAGCUACAUAAACACACCUUAUAAUGUGACUACUAUAUACCUAAAACAUUUAUAUACAAAACCAGUUACCGCAGGGAUAACAGCAUUAUACUUUUCAGGAGCACCCAUCCAAAAAAGCCCUUAUGACCUCGAUGUUGAAUUAUCUCCAAUAAUGGGCAACCACAUUAACCACGGGUCUGUUCGACCCAAAAAGAUACAUGAU